rnacentral:rRNA from 1 species
UACGGAGGAGGCGAGCGUUAUCCGGAUUUACUGGGCGUAAAGCGCGUGUAGGCGGUCCGGCAAGUUGGAUGUGAAAUCUCCCGGCUCAACCGGGAGAGGUCGUUCAAUACUGCUGGACUAGAGAGCAGUAGAGGGGGGUGGAAUUCCGGGUGUAGCGGUGAAAUGCGUAGAUAUCCGGAGGAACACCAGUGGCGAAGGCGGCCCCCUGGACUGUCUCUGACGCUCAGACGCGAAAGCUAGGGGAGCAAACAGG